AGGUCUCAGCCUUAUGUUACCCAGCCUCUAUUCAAGAUGGAGUUGCUUUGGUUCAAACACCUCUGACAUCAGGAGCCCGCAACCAUGGAUGGAAACCAAUAUAUAUCAUUAUAAGACCACAAAAUUGCAAUUUUCCUGAGGAAUGAAAGCCUAGCUGUAUGUUGCUACUAUGGACCAGGCAUGAUGCUGGUGCUGGGGAAACACUGCCAAAGUUCCUGCUUUCAAGUUGUCUGCAGUCCAACAGAGAAAGUAAGUAUAUGGAAAUCAUGCUGAGGAGGCCUCAGCAUCCUUAGGAGUCUUUAGGAGUCAAGGAAGGAUUCCUUAAAAAAAAAAAAAUUCUUUUUUUUUUUUGGGAA
rnacentral:lncRNA from 1 species